GACGAACGCUGGCGGCGUGCUUAACACAUGCAAGUCGAACGGAAAGGCCCUGCUUUUGUGGGGUGCUCGAGUGGCGAACGGGUGAGUAACACGUGAGUAACCUGCCCUUGACUUUGGGAUAACUUCAGGAAACUGGGGCUAAUACCGGAUAGGAGCUCCUGCUGCAUGGUGGGGGUUGGAAAGUUUCGGCGGUUGGGGAUGGACUCGCGGUUUAUCAGCUUGUUGGUGGGGUAGUGGCUUACCAAGGCUUUGACGGGUAGCCGGCCUGAGAGGGUGACCGGCCACAUUGGGACUGAGAUACGGCCCAGACUCCUACGGGAGGCAACAGUGGGGAAUAUUGCACAAUGGGCGGAAGCCUGAUGCAGCAACGCCGCGUGCGGGAUGACGGCCUUCGGGUGGUAAACCGCUUUCGCCUGUGACGAAGCGUGAGUGACGGUAAUGGGGAAAGAAGCACCGGCUAACUACGU
rnacentral:rRNA from 1 species